AUACCAGGAACUAACAUAGUGUUGUAAGCCAAUUAUACUUCAAAAACAAACUUAGUAAAAGACAGCAGAUUUGUGGUUACCAAAGGGUGAUGGGGGUGGAGCCGGGUGGAGUCAGAUGAAGGUAGUUGAAAGGCAAAAACUUGCAGUUCCAAGGUAAAUAAGUACUAGGGAUGUAAUGUACAGCAUGAUAAAUAUAAUUCCUACUGCUACACAUUUUAUUUCAAAGUUGUUAAGAAUAAAUCCUGAGUUCUCAUAACAAGGAAAAAAAAUAUAUGAUUUCUUUAAUUUUGUAUUUAUAAUGUUUACUAAACUUAAUGUGAUAAUUAUUUCAUGAUGUCUGUAAGUCAGAUCGCUAUGCUGUAUGCAUGACAGAAACUUUAUAUAUAGUGCUAUUUGUCAAUUAUAGCUCAAUUAAACUGAAAGAAAAAAAAAGUUAUCCUUGUCUCCAGGAGCACUGGUGAGUCUCUGAAGUUUAUAUCAAGUUGUCUAGCUUCAGCUUGAAGGGCUUUGGAAAAAGCAGUUUUUGUUUUUUGUGAUUCCAAGUCAGAAAGGUGAGAGGAAAUUGUAAAUGUUAGUUUGGGGAGUCAUAGCUAGAUAUUGGAGAAAAACUAGAAGAAUUUCAGGAUCCAGUGUGGUUUACAAGUAGAUAACACAACCUCAAAGACAGUAGAAUUUGAUAGCCACAAAAGUGUGCUGCUAAUACAUAACUUUUUCCUCUGUAGUCAUCUCUAUUUCUACCAAAGAUAAUCACGGUAGAACUAAUUGGUUUGCAAUAUAAGUCUAGUCUCAUUAAACUUGGCUUGAUUAUUUACAUAAGUGCAGCAAGCGUAGAAACUGACCAUAUAGAUUUUAAAAUCUGCUUCACUGGAACUUUUUAGAGGGAAUCUCAGACUUUUAAAAGCCUCUCAAGCCUAGGAAGCCAAGCCAAGUUCUUGCCAUCAGAUUUCUCCUGCAGUGCUCAUAGAUUUGAGUGAAUUCCUCUCUUUUCUCUUCUUGAGGUCCCCAAGAAAUCCUGAGGUUCUUGGCCUACCAGGAAAUGACCUUCCUUACUCACCUGAUUUGGCUGGGAACUCUGAAAGCAAAAUGCCAGGUUUUUUGUUUGUUUGUUUUUUGUUUUUGGAAGGGGCCUCACUGGCUCAAUAAAGUCAAUCUUAGUUCCUUAAAGCUGAUAUUAUGGACAUCUUUCUCAAAUAUGAUAGUCCAGUCAAACUUUGGCAAUAUAGCCAAAGUUGUAUCCUAUUACAAAGAGCAAAUUCCUAUUGAACUUAUGCAAAUAACUGUAUUGCCAUGAAAUUAAGACUAUACACUAUGAGUUUCUAAAUUCUGGCAGAAAAAAAUAAAUUUUUAUUUAUUUGUUUUUUUUAGGACUACAUGUGUGGCAUUUGGACAUUCCCAGGCUAUGGGUGAAUUGGAGCUACAGCUGCCAGCCUAUACCACAGCCACAGCAACCAGGGGUCCAAGCCAUGUCUGCAAACUACACCAUGGCUCACAGCAAUGCCAAAUCCCCAACCCUCUGAGUGAGGCCAGGGAUGGAACCUGCAUCCUCAUGGAUACUAGUUGGAUUCAUUUAUACUGCACCACCACAGUAACCCCAAUGUUUUAAUUCUAUUUACAAAGGUAUGCUUUACCAAAUUGCUUCAAGUUAUAGAAAGCUUAAGAGAAAAGGUUUCCUUAAAUCUGUUAAAAUGUUAAAAAACCAGCAUUGUUUCUGACAAAAACUCAUAAAAAUUAAAACCAUUCUCAUCAUUUUCUCAAUUCCAUGUAAUUCUUGUUUUGCUUGAUCUAGAGUUUAGUAGUUUCCUGAAUCCAUUUAUUUUUUUCCAUUAGGGUUCUAGAAAUUAUUACCUUGUUCAAUGGUAUGAUCUUAAAGUUAUUUGAAGUCUGUAUGCUAGAGUACUUGUCAGAAUAAAACAAUAGCUAUUGUUAAAUGACAGGAGACUUAAAAAUGGCCGUGGGUAAAGAUUUAGUAAGAGUUUAUUCUAAUGCAGUUGACAAGGAAAUUUGGUUAAUUCUGUGAUACUCAAAUUUUAGGAUGAUAAUAUCCCACCUCCCAAGCUGGCAACAGUCAGUAGCAUGCUAGCUGCACAUGAGGUGCAGUGCACGUUUCCCUCUGGCCAUAUUCUUGCAGCCCCCAACCUGACAGCUGAGCUGCUGGCACACACAAGAAUCAAUAACUUGAUGCCUGGGCAGCAGAAAGCCAAGUCAGAUUCUCAGGACACAAGACAAAUAGGAAAAUAAUAGCUGUCGCUGAGAAGGCGAGGAUCAAUAACCAGUGGGUACACCAAAACCAGUUCAUAGGUGUCACGAUUCAGAGAACUGAUUUUUACAAAUGCUCUCUCUUGCUAAUCAGAAUUUGUAAAGGAAGGGACUGUGAAAUUUUACCUUCCUCUCUCUAGUCUCCUCUCCUGUGAUUAAUAGUUAAUCCUCCUUGGUUGAUGAAUUUCCUCUGGGGAGGGAUUUAUGACAGUUGAGUUCCUUUUAGAGGAUGUAUCUUUAAGCAGAUAAGUGAAUUUCAGAGAAGGCCUCCCUGCAUUUGAAUACCUACAGCUCAAAAUAAUCACUAUGCCAAAGUGGCAUAUUUUGGGGAUAGCAGAUUCUGCGUCCAGUGACCCCCUUUUAUAAAUGAGAAUAUCAAAGUUCAGACAAAUCAAAUAACUGGCCCUAGGUCUUACAUACAUUCUUUGGGCUGCCUCAGUUAUAUGUGAAAUAGAUAUAAUUUGUAUCUUCCAAUGUGUCUUUCACUCAGUAAGAAAUCAAUAUGUUGAAUGAAUGACUGAAUAGAUAUUAGAAUCAACUGAAAGGACCUCUUUUUUUUUUUUUUUUUUUUUGCAAUUUGAUCACCUAAUUUUAUGUCUUUUGAAUCAAAUAAGAAUAGUAAACACUGGGCCUUAUUUUGCAUGUUUCUUAACAUUUCAUUUUUCUAGUAAUUCAUUUAUUUUUUUUUAAUUUAUUUUUUAUUGUUAUUUCCCCCAACACACUUUUUUUUUUUCCCCACUGUACAGCAUGGGGGCCAAGUUACAAAAACAUGUAUACAUAAUUUUUUCUCCCAUUGUUGUGCUAUGUUGUAAGUAUCUAGACAUAGUUCUCAGUGCUACACAGCAGGAUCUCAUUAUAAAUUCAUUCCAUGAGCAGUAGUUUGCAUGGAUCUCUCCCUUAAAGCCCAGUCUUUUCCUUUGGUAGCUAUGAAGUAUAACUUUCAAGUUUCUUUCCCGUUCCUAAAAGUUUUAGAGAGUGAAGUGUCUCUUUGAUAAUCUUUGUGUGUGUAUGUGUGUGUGAGAGAGAGAGAGAAAGAGAGCGAGAGAUUGCAAAAAACUUAAGAGCAAAUUGUAGACCCGUCUGGGUAACUGAAGUAGCUUGAACAUCAUCACACUGGUCAUUAAUAAUGUGUGUAUGAAUUUAUUAUUAAAGUUCAGAUCAGAAUGAAUUGGUAGCUUAAUGUUAGAUUUCAACCCUUUAAAAAGUAAAAGUAUCAUAAGUAUGUUCAUGUUAAUUGUCUUCUUUAAUAAAGAAUGAAGUGCUACAGUUAUAUAUAUUUUAAUGAUUUUUGUUAUGUCUUUUGCUAUGUAAAUUUGAGAAUGGUAUAUAAAUGAGAGUUUAUUUUAUUUUAUUCAUUCCUUUUUUUCUUUUUAUGGCUGCAUUGGCAGCAUGUGGAAGUUCCAAGGCGAGGGGUUGAAUCGGAGGUGUAGCUGCCGGCCUACGCCACUGCCACAGCAAAACAGGAUCCAAGACGCAUCUGCAAGUUAUACUACAGCUCACAGCAAUGCCGGAUCCUUAACCCGCUGAGCAAGGCUAGGGAUGGAACCUGCGUCCUCAUGGAUACUAAUCAGAUUCAUUUCCCCUGAGCCACAACAGAACUCCAAGAAACUUUACUUUGUAUCUGAGCUCUGGCAUGUUAUGCAAAUCAAGUUAUAGACUUAAUAGCUUUGAUUCGACCCCUAGCCUGGGAACCUCCACAUGCUGCGGUAGGAACCCUAGAAAAGGCGACAAGACAAAAAAAGAAAAAAAAAAAA
rnacentral:lncRNA from 1 species